rnacentral:tRNA from 2 species
GCUCCCGUAGCUCAAUGUAGAGAGCACCGCGCUUCGAACGCGGCGGUUGCAGGCGAAACUCCUGCCGGGAGCA